UGGGCACUCUAAGUUGACUGCCGGUGACAAACCGGAGGAAGGUGGGGAUGACGUCAAAUCAUCAUGCCCCUUAUGAUUUGGGCUACACACGUGCUACAAUGGACAAUACAAAGGGCAGCGAAACCGCGAGGUCAAGCAAAUCCCAUAAAGUUGUUCUCAGUUCGGAUUGUAGUCUGCAACUCGACUACAUGAAGCUGGAAUCGCUAGUAAUCGUAGAUCAGCAUGCUACGGUGAAUACGUUCCCGGGUCUUGUACACACCGCCCGUCACACCACGAGAGUUUGUAACACCCGAAGCCGGUGGAGUAACCUUUUAGGAGCUAGCCGUCGAAGGUGGGACAAAUGAUUGGGGUGAAGUCGUAACAAGGUAGCCGUAUCGGAAGGUGCGGCUGGAUCACCUCCUUUCUAAGGA
rnacentral:rRNA from 1 species